CCUACGGGUGGCAGCAGUGAGGAAUAUUGGUCAAUGGGCUUACGCCUGAACCAGCCAAGUCGCGUGAGGGAAGACCGCCCUAUGGGUUGUAAACCUCUUUUGUCAGGGAGCAAUUGGCGCUACGUGUAGCGUUAUCGAGAGUACCUGAAGAAAAAGCAUCGGCUAACUCCGUGCCAGCAGCCGCGGUAAUACGGUGGAUGCGAGCGUUCUCCGGAUUUAUUGGGUUUAAAGGGUGCGUAGGCGGAAUGCAAAGUCAGCGGUAAAAGCGCGGGGCUCAACUUCGCUCCGCCGUUGACACUGGCGUUGUAGAGUGGGCGAGAAGUAUGCGGAAGGCGUGGGGUAGCGGUGAAAUGCAUAGAUAUCACGCAGAACUCCGAUUGCGAAGGCAGAAUACCGGCGCCCAACUGACGCUGAAGCACGAAAGCGUGGGUAUCGAACAGGAUUAGAUACCCCUGUAGUC
rnacentral:rRNA from 1 species